CUUUAACCGAGCAAGUAUGACUUGUUGGUUCUUAGCACCUUCCAUCUGUCAGCCUCUUGUCUCAGAUCUCAACUCUGGUCCUUGUCACCACACCACCAGUAAGUUAAAUGAGACUUUGGGAGGAUUGAACAAAAAUCACAGAACAAUUUUAAAGGGUGUUACACUAAAUAAUGCUGAUGGAGAAGGAGGGUGAAGCAGGCAAUGGAAAAACCGUGGGGUAUCACAUGGAUUACGUACCCUUCACCUUGGUACUUUUAAAGUUCACUAAAAUGAAGGAAGAAGAAGGAGAAGAAAGGAAAAAGAAGAGCAGAAAAAGAAAAUGCUCACAAUUUGGAAUGUAUUGACUUAAGAAGCCUG